GANGAACGCUGGCGGCGUGCCUAACACAUGCAAGUCGAGCGGUAGAUAAAAGCUUGCUUUUACNUAUCAGCGGCGGACGGGUGAGUAACACGUGGGCAACCUACCUCAAAGUGGGGGAUAGCCUCCCUGAAAGGGAGAUUAANACCGCAUAACAUCUAUGAUGUCACNUGGACAUUAUGAUCAAAGGAGUAANCCGCUUUGAGAUGGGCCCGCGGCGCAUUAUCUAGUUGGUGAGGUAACAGCCCACCAACGCAACGAUGCNUNNCCGACCUGAGAGGGUGAUCGGCCACAUUUGGAACUGAAAUACGGGUCCGGACUCU
rnacentral:rRNA from 1 species